CGCACCUUGAAUGUAAUGUACGUUUUAAUCAUCCUGUCAAAAUGAACCGAAGGUAUGGCGAGAAUGCACCUUAUAUGUUGGUUUGACAACCUUAAAGCCUAGAAGAAGAAGAAAACUUACGAUAAGCUGCUGAACGCUGUAAAAUCAGUGUCAGGAACACAUGGCCAGCCACACCUCAUUAAAGACCAUGGGCAGCAUAAGUGACUGUGCUUGGGAGCCGUGCCAAAUCACAGUAGAUGAAUUCCACCAACCAAUCAGAGAGUGGACACCAGACUUCCAAUAGUGAUGUCCCGCGCUGUCUGCUGCCUACAUGGUAAGCCUUAGGAAGACAAAUUGAUCUCAGUGUAUACCUCUUGAAAGUCAAGUUGGAGAUUUGCUCAAGUUGAAGGCCCCUUGUCAGAGCUCAAAAGCAGUGCACGAUGCCGUUCCCCAUUUUGAUUGUCCGAGCCAAUCUCAGAGGAAGCAUAUUGGUUCGAGCCAUUUCCUGAGCAAGAUUACCUUCCUCUGGACCCUUGAGGUGAAGUUAUGAGUCUCUAAACUGGAACCUUGCUAAUGGUUAAUUAAAACCACAGAAUGUAGCAGUGAAUGUAAGGUGCAACAUAUUUUUUUAUCCUGGACAGCAAAUGUGUCUUUGUACAUUCAUAUUUAAAUUAAAGUAUCUUUUAAAUAUUAUUAACUGUUUUAGUGCAUGUUUAUAUGCUGUAUUUGCAUUGUACUAUUGUUAGACAAGUAUGUUAAAGAGAACAUAAUUUCAUUAUGGCAGGAUAAAUAUCUUUCGACUAGUAGGCAUUCUGAACCCAAAUGUGGCUAGUAAUAUUGUUUGGCAUGCUGGGAGAUAACUGGAAUGUGGG